ACGUAUGGUGCAAGCGUUAUCCGGAUUUACUGGGUGUAAAGGGAGCGUAGACGGCUGUGUAAGUCUGAAGUGAAAGCCCGGGGCUCAACCCCGGGACUGCUUUGGAAACUAUGCAGCUAGAGUGUCGGAGAGGUAAGUGGAAUUCCCAGUGUAGCGGUGAAAUGCGUAGAUAUUGGGAGGAACACCAGUGGCGAAGGCGGCUUACUGGACGGUGACUGACGUUGAGGCUCGAAAGCGUGGGGAGCAAACAG
rnacentral:rRNA from 1 species